UUUCGUAGGCGACUUUGCAAGUUACACUUCAAAGACCAGGGCUCAACCUUGGAAGGGGGUGUAAUACUGCAAGGAUCAGGAAGGUGUCGGGGUUUUCGGAACUCUCGGUGUAGGGGUGAAAUCCGUUGAUAUCGAGAGGAACACCAAGGGCGAAGGCAGAAAACUAGGCACUAUUCGACGCUGAGGAACGACAGCUAGGGGAGCGAAAGGGAUUAGAGACCCCUGUAGUCCUAGCCGUAAACUAUGCUCGCUAGGGAUUCGUUCGUAAGGACGAGUUCCGUAAGCUAACGCAAUAAGCGAGCCGCCUGGGGAGUACGAACGCAAGUUUAAA
rnacentral:rRNA from 1 species